GAAUUGUUGAAUGAGUUGUGUUGGUGGAGUCUUUGGGAUCUUUGUAGUAUUUUACCAAGAUUGAAUCUGAAUCCACUAGUAUAAAUUUAUAAAAUUGUCUAGUUUUAUUUGUGGUUGUUGGUCUAAACUAAAAUCCUUGGAAAAAAGCCUUAGAGAUUACCUUAAAAGGUGAUUUUUCCAAGAAUUCUGCUUCCAUCAAAAUAACAGAUAAAAAAUUAUUUUGAAAUGUAUGUGAAUUGUGGUUUUAAUUGGGUAUUUGGGGGCUGAGUUUGCUCAAUCGAUUAGGGUAAUUUGGUUUGGAUAAUUGCUUUUCCUUUUAGAUCAUUGCAAACGGUUUUUUUACUUGCGACUUGGGUUAAAAGUUUUGCCAGAUCUAUUUCGUCAUCAUUUGAGCUGUCAUAUAUACCCGCCUAAGAAGAGAGCUCGAGGAAGGAGACGCCACCUUGCUGCCAGCUCCGUCGAAGACCAGCCUACCGCCGCUGUCGAGUCAAACCCAAGAGAGAGAGAGAGUGUGUGCGACGAUGAGAGAGGAGGAGCCGUCACCAAAUGCGUCGCCGCAGCUGGAGGAGCUUCGCUCUUCGCCGUCGCCGAGGAGGGGAAAGAGGAGCUGCUCCCGUCGCGCCAGUCACCGUCGUGCUUCCUGGUUGCCGAUGAGGGAGCCGCGAGAACCGUUGCCGUCGCGGAGGAGGGGGACGCGCGAGAGGGAGCCGUCAGUGUGGUCGCCGUCGCCGCUGUUGAAAAAUCGAAGUUUUGUGGAUUUGACAAGGAAGGGAACCGAUGGAAGGAGAGAACCGCAGGUACCGUCAAGUUCCCGAAGAACAAGGUUACUAGCAAGAACAAGAUCAUUGCUGAGUGUGGUUCUUUAGCUAUAAGCACUCCAAAUCAUUGAAAAAGCCUCAGGUGCCUUCUUCCCGUAUUUGCAGAACUUCUCUCAAGAGCGACAAAAGCUUGAGGAGUAUCGCAUGAACCAGAAAUCCACUGAUUCAAUGUACAAGGUUUCCAUUGGAGCAGCUUGUAAUCUUUCUUGGCCUGCUGACCAUCUCGUGAUCCAAAUCCUAGAUGAUUCUACGUCCCGUGGUUAAACAAAUGGUGGAAAUGGAAUGUCAGAGAUGGGCGAGCAAAGGGAUAAACAUAACGUACCAAAUAAGAGAGAACAGAACGGGGUACAAAGUGGGUGCACUCAAAGAAGGUCUAAAACGUAGCUACGUGAAGCACUGUGAGUACGUGGCAUCUUCGAUGCUGAUUUCAGGCCUGAGCCUGAUUUCCUCCGUAGAGUGGUUCCUUUCUUGAUUGGCAACCCUGACAUCGCUCUUGUUCAAGCUCGUUGGAGAUUUGCGAUAUUUCUGUCAUUGCAAAGAUAGAAAGUACGGAAUCGCUGAAGAACUUGGAGGAGAUCAUUCAAGCAACAUCUCGUCUUAAUGCAAACUAUGAAAAAGAGACGUACAAAAGGUAUAAUGUAAAAGAUUGUUUGGGAGUUGGAAAGACUGCAAACUUUGAUGAGCUGAUGGCUAUUGCGGCUACGGAAGGUGGCGAAAAUGGAGACUUUGAUGAGCUGAUGAGCUGAUGGCUGCUGCGGCUACCAAAGGUGGCGAAAAUGGAGACGUAGAAGAAAACAAUGCAUGAGGGUUAUGGAAAUUACUCGUGAAUUGGGUGACGACAUUUUGUACUAUUUAAAGAGUUUCAUUUUUGUCGUUAGUUGGUAGAGGACAAGCAUAGAAUUCAUUAUAUAUAAUGUGACUUGCAAUUUUAAACUCUUUAAUUCAUUCUGUUCUUUUAUCCAUAUAGAGUGUCCUAGUGUUUUCUUUUUCAGUGGGACUAAUAUAUGGAGAUGAUGCAUUUGGUCAUUUGAUUAUUUAUAUGCUUUUGUGAA